rnacentral:lncRNA from 1 species
GUUUUUCUUCUGCAGGACAUCCCUGUAGAAGUUCUGCUGCGUGUGGUCCAGCCGUCCCCACUCCUCCCGGGAGAGGUACAAGGCUACAUCCUCGAAAGUCACUGGCAUCUGAAACAAUGUGAAACAUCCACUCUCCAGGACAUGAUGUGGACACGGUGGAGGGACACCAUGGCAUGAGAUGUGUGGUGAGACCCCGGAGUCCCAACCCACUAUCUCGAGUGAGGCCUGCCACUUCCAUCUGAUGGGGAAGCGGGUGAGCCACCCAAGGCCUUCUGGGGAGUUGAGAAAGAACAAAGACCAAGAGGUAUUUUCAGGGACCACAGUUAAGACUUAGGAUGUCCAUGCAGCCCCCAUCCUCAGCUGAGACCUCGGAGGACGGUUCCCAAUGGCUCCCAGUGAGAGGCCCUGUGUCUCUAAUUCCUGCUGCUUCUCCUCCAGCUUUGGCCCAGGCCUGACCAUGGGCCUUGAGCCUGGACAAUUCCAGCAACACUAGCAAGAGCCCCAGGCUUCAGGCUUGGCUGCAAGUGGGGCCAGCGGGGUCCUGGCUUUCACACAGAACCAGCAGAUGCAGGAAGGGCUGAGUACCAUGCAGGGGCCGGGGAAGGGCCACUCACCUGGGACCAGGCAGUGAGGAGCGCUGCAGCCAUCUGCCGGUCUCUGGUCCUCCCCUCUCGGGAAAGCACGGGGAUCCGGGGGGAGGGGAGGGCUGUGGGAGGAGAGAGGUCCUCACGGUGACCAGCUCAUCCUGCUGGACCUGCUGCUACUUCAGCUGCCUCAACCUCUACCCCUGGCCCGACCCAAGGACAGGGUCGGAUGGCUCUGACGCUGCCAGGGGGCUGUGGGCCAUGGGGCGAUAGCGUCCCCUGCUGGCAUAGAGACCCUCAGCCCCACCUGGACCUGGGCCAAGCCUCCACCUCCCCACAGCUGCCUCCCUGGGAAAGCGCCUCUUCCCCAUCCCUCUCCUACCUCCGCCAGGCAGGAAGAGAGCUUUCUCCUUAGAGCCGUGACUUAGGGGUGCCCAGCCCCAUGCACCUUGAGCCCCAUCCUCCUGCGAUGCCCCCUCGGAGUGUGGCUCUUCGGGCUCCAUCUUAAUGUGCAGUGACUCCUGAGCGUCCCCUGAAGGUACCGCCUCCCCCAGCUUAGAAGGCAUUUCCUGAUGAGGAUGUCCACGAUCUGGAACCUAGAAAGGACAGCCCCAUCAGCACCCAGAUGAGUGGGAGAGACACCCAGGGCUACAUGCCAGGGCGCUCCGGCAGGGUCGGAAACCAACAUGCAAGACGCAGCUUGAAGGACUGUCCUUGCUGCCUUCAUCCAGCUCACCCCAGCAAGGAGGGGCGGCAAGAGGAGGAAUAUUCACCAAGCCGCCUCCACAGUGCCGGUGGGCGUGGUGCCCAAGGGCAGCUACCCCUUCUCAGCUCCAGCCUCACACUGACCUCAGCAGUGUAGACUGCUGUCUAUUAGUGUAUGAAGAAACCAAGUGUAGUGGCUUGAAUAGUGUCCUCUAAGAAUCCGUGUCCUCCCUGAACCUCAGAACGGGACCUUAUUGGGGAAAAGGGUCUUUAUACAGGAGAGGACACAGAGACACAGAGAAGGAAGCAGAGACUGGAGGGAUGCCCACACCAAGGACACCAGGAGCCCCCAAGGAGUUGGAAGAGGUAAGGGAGGGUCCUCUUAGUCUAGAGCUUUCAAAAGGAGUGUGACCCUGCUGACACCUAGAUUUUGGACUGCAGGCCUCCAGGACUGUGAGAGAGUCAAUUCUGGUUGUUUUCAGCCCCCCAGAGAGUGGAAACUUGUUACAGCAGCCACGGGAGACUAACACACCAUGGCUGGGGAUGAGACAACGCCCCGUGACCACAUAGCUCAAAAGCUUUGGGAAAGUCAGGGAGGGCCCUGGUGGGGCCUCAUCCACAGCACAGGAACUGGCCGGACUUCUGCCACGGUCUCACACUCCUUCCUCCACGCCCUGUCUGUGUUUGGGUCUUGAAGGGAAAGAACCUCAAGCCAGGAAUCAGGGUGCCUGGGUGCCAGACCCAGCGACACCCCUCCCCAACCAGGCAGCCUUCAGGACGCAGCUGCUCUGCCCCUGCACAGAAUGGUCAUGAGGUUCACGCAGAUAAUGAUGGAGAAGGAGCUGCCAGCUCAGGAAAGUCCUGGAUAAACACAGGGUGGCGCUGGUCAUUAUUCCCCCCGCGGCCGUGCGCACCAGACAGAAGCCAGUGCCAGCAGAGAAUGCCAACAUGUGGGGCUCUACUGACAUGCCCAAGCUGUUCAAGACACACGGGAAGUGGAUGGGAAACUGAACUAUGCUAACAAUUCUUUGUGCUUCUAUGGCAUGAAAACCAUAGAUGAUGGCGUCUCAUGCCUAUUAUCCUUAGAGCCUCCCAGUGACCCUGCGAGACAGGUAGGAAUGGCAGGCAUGUGGUCUGCAUUUUACAGAUGACACAUCUGGUUCCCAGAGGCCAGGGACUGGCCCCUGGCCUGUCGCUGACUCAUACUCCUCCAACUCCAAGCCCGGAGACCCAGGUCCCCCACAAAUAGUAAUUACACACACACACUCAACCACGCACGCACACACACACGGGUAGCAGGUACAGGAAGGAGAAAGGACCGGGAGCUCAGACCCACAGAGAUGAGAAGCUGUGGUUCCAGGUGGAGAAGCACAGGGAAGGAGAACAGGUUUCCCCGUGUGCUCUGAGCGCUGCUCAGAAAGAAAACCUCACCGAUAGGACCCCACCCAGGCCUCUUCCAUCUCCUGUGGCCACUGACUAGACAAUUCACCAGCAAAGCAAAACUGUUAUGCUGUAAAUUCCAGACAGAGGGUACUACCCAGCAUGCCACCUUCUCUUUGAUCUCCCCACCCCAGUGAGUCUAACUCUUCCAGGGGUCCAGACUCUGUGCCUUGAAAAUCUCCUCCGCACCAGCCUCUUCUACCGCACACCUCCCUCAGCCAGCCCCAUCUGUACCUCCGGGGGUGUCUCCUUGUCCUGGGUGUCCUGGAUGCCUCCGCCGUCUGCAGACAUUUUCUAUUUCAGAGCUAGAAAGAACAGCUGAGUUGUUUCUCCCUCUUUUUGGCCAAGCCCCCUCCAGCUUCUGGCCAGGAGCCUAGAAGAGCAGACAGAAACCAGCCCUCGCUUCCUGGACACCCCCAAAGAGCCCUGAAAAUCCCCACGAGUACCAGCGCUCCCUGGUCCCAAUCGGAAAGAAAGUCUCCCAGAUCCUAUCCGAUGGUCCCACUCUCUGUGAUGUUUUCUGGGUCCUAUUUUUGAAAGAAUGCUAUUUCGUAUUGUCCCCUUUAUCGCUGAAGCAAGAGCCUCGCAUCUCAGUGUAACCGGCUCAGGGAAAGCCGAGGCUAAAUUGGAAUCGCUAUUUCCUGUCAUCAGGAGCAGAAAGUUCUGCAGAGAUCCUGCAAAACAGGUGCUGGUGGGGCCCCGCCCGUCAAGGCCAGGGUAAUCCAGGACCUGCUGUCCCCCGACCCCAGGACAUACACCCUGUGUCGCUACCUGACUCCCAGCCCCACCAGGAAUUCAGAAAUCAACCUGCCCGCUCCCAGCAGCCCCCCUGCAGCUGCAACCACCCGCCCCAGGCCUGGGAUGCCCAUCCUGCUCUCGGUCCUGGCAGACAAUGUCCUUCUCCUUCCCAAACCCGGUCCUGGCCCCCUUCUCUCCUGCCAGCUUGAAGCCUUCCACCUUUGACCCCAUCCCCUCCUGCAAGCUGAUCAUCUGCGCCGGUCUCGGGAUCCAGAUGCCCUCCCCAGCACC